UUUACCUACUCUUUUCAACGUUCUUAUCGCGAUUAUCUAUGCUCUUUGUGGAAAAACUUUAUAGUAAUUUUUUUUUCUGUUUUGGUUAUCUCUUUCGCACUUCUCUGGCACUGUUAGGUUUUACUGUUUCAUCUGUUACGUCUUUUGGUUUUCUCACUAUAUGCUAUUUUAGAAUUUCUUUCCCAUCACAGGUUCUAUUUGACUAUAAGUGCAUACUUUGGGUAAAAUUAUUCGCCGAUGGUUUCUGUUUUUUCAUAUACUGCACAUCGUCAGAAUUAAAUUUUGCGACAUGAGUUGACUUGCAAUUUUGGAGCUGGCUGCAUAGGUUCGAAUUAUUUAUGAAUAAUACAAGAACUUUGGGCUGAGGAUUAUUUUUCAAGAACAAAAAAAGAAACUAAAGCUCAUUUCUGUUAAAGCUUUAGGCGUUGGGGAAAUAAUUUUUAAACUUCUACAUACUGAUGGUUAAAUGAUAUUAAAUGGACCAUGAAGUUAGUUUUGGUUCUGUUAGAAUUUUUUUUUGUUGGUAAAAUUCAUAGGUGUAUAGUGAUUGUUUUGUGAAGGGCAAUUUUCUCUUACAGCUAUGAGAUUUCAUGCUGGAUUUUUACCAACGUAUGUUUGUCUCUUUAAUCAAGUAAUUUGUUUUUACUCUGCACUCUUUUAAGAUUCGGUUGGUCAAUAUAAUUUUAAAUAUCCUGAAAUAUUAUAUGUUGGUAUACACCACACAGGCUGCUAACAGACUGUGCAACAAGGUUUCUUCUUUUCAUAUAUCCAUUGCUUUGGAGAUGCUUCGAAAAAAGUUGCUUGGCGAGAAAUAAUUAUGGUCUAUUAUUUCCUUUUUGAAUUUUAUUAUAACCUCUUACCUUAAAUGUUUAACGCAUAAUGUGAAUUUCUUCUCUGAUUUCAUGAGUAAACCUCUAUUUAUACUCAUGUUAUAUAUAGUAUUUAGCAUCUAAAGAUCUCUUUAUGCUUACUGCUAUAUCUUCCAAUUCACGUAUAAAUUCAUCACUUUUAGUAAUAUGUACCAUCCUACGGCUACAAAAUACUACUUAAAGUUAAGGAGCUAUGAUCUUUGUGUGAUCAUAUCAAUCUUCUCAUUUUAGCUAUUACAAAUACAUAUUCUGAUGAUUUAUAUAGGUUUCAUCUGAGAGAAAAUUAUUGUGCGACGCAGCAGAGGAAGUUGUCUCCAUUUCCUUCAUUUAGGAGAAAUUGAUGAGUCUAUCUGCUAAUUUGUGGUGUUGGACCUAACUGCACUGAUUAGGGGAGAAGCUAGCUAAUGGUUUUCUUAUAUUUCUAUUGUUUUUACCGAGGGUGAGGAGACGAGUGAGGUGUUUGGUAGUCCUCAUAGGUUUGGGCCUUCUGGCAUCAGAUCCAUUCGGAGGAUUAGUGGAGCUCUAUCUAUUUUUGGUGAAGCUCCUCAUUGGUUUUCGAUUUAGGGGGAGAGAAUUUUGUUGGUUCUCUAAUGAAAUGCGAGUGUUGAUGUUUAUGCGUUGGGCUGUGUAAGAUUGUGAUUGUAGUGUAGUGCAUGUAUUUUUUUUCCUACAUUCUUUUAGAGUUUUCCUUUUUCGUUUCUUCUAAAUGUAUAUGGUGUGAGUUUUCUGUUUAUAGGGUUAGUUUGUGCAAUCUUUGUAUGUUUGUUGCACUUUAUUCAUUUUUAUGUGCAUAUGUUAGUUCCUUAUAGCUAUUGAAUUAUGUCUUGCUACAGCUUUAACAUGCAUGUUAGUGCUGUUCCUAAAUUAUACAUGCAUUAUGCCUUUGUUGCCAACAACUCCAAUUAGAAGUGAACAAUGCACCCGAGUUAUUUGAUGAAUAUCAGCAAGAGGUGAAUCUGAACUUCUAUAUUCUGUUGAUUUUGGAUGAAUCAAGUCUUCAUGAUUUGAAUUUCCCAAAAGGAGGGCUCAAGAGUAUCAUUUUGUCAUUUGUAAAAUUGUUAUACCUGACAUCCACAUCACAGACUCACACUUAAAGCAUAUUGGAGUGCACAUAAGUUGCAAUUUUGAAUAAGCUUUGAAUGAACUUAUAACUAUUUUACCAGAUUUAUAUUUAAGUUACUGAUAUUCCUCUGGUGACACCACGAAGAUGCUCAAUUUUAUCCCUACUUCAAGGCAGUUGAAUUGAUUUUAACAAGGUCUUAAACUAAGGUAUGACUGCACCAGCCACCACUCAGUUAGACAUAUGUACAAGUUUAGUCUAAACAGAGCUUCUUUCAGAUUUUGUUGUUAGAGAAAGGACUACUUAAAGUUCCUGCUUGCUCUUAACAUAGUUGCAAAAUUAUCCUAAUGGGAAGUACCAAGCACAUCUAAAAGGUUGCAAGUAAGUUAGAUGAAAUAAAAAUAUGUAAAGAGUACCUCUUUUUACUUAUUUGAGAUGAAAAUUUUGGUUGAAUCCAGAAGCAUCUUCAUUACACAGUUAAAAACUAAUUUCUGAUUUCAAUUAGGAUCAAUUACUUUGAGGAUAGUCGGUACAUAAGAGGCAGUUGACAAAACAAGUGAAGUGUCCUGGCAGCAGCAGUUGUGGUGAUGUUUGCUUUGCACUGAAAAUAUCAACAAGAUGUCGGCAAGAUGUGAUACUUGGGAUUAUGAUACUAAAAAAAUGCUUUAGGUUUUGAUGUAGAGGAUGAGCAUAUUGAUUAUGAGGAAUAUGUAACAACGAUGAGAAGGGGAAUAUAGGAUUGAUAACUGGAGCAAUAAUUAAAAGAGAACCUAAUUAAAUUAGGGAUGACCAAGUCUACACUGCUCUUUAAAUUGUUGGGUUCAAUAUAGGGUUUUGAUGAGCCUACCACUUGAGUCAUAGCCAGAAGAAAUAGACUUUGUGCAACAACAGUUGAUGCCUGCAAAGAGAAUUCUUGAAGCAAAAAUUCCUUGUUGUCAAUAGUUAGCCAAUAAAUAAAUUUAAGGCAAAACUCUGUAAAUAGCUAACGUGAGUUGUGCUUAAACUUAUGAAAGUGGCUACUCCCUUGCUAGAUUAACCUUUUACUUAUAUGAAUCUAUGUUUUUUUAUAUUGAAAUUAAAUCGUAACAAGUUGGUUUA